UUUAAAAAUGUAGGGCCAGUAGAGUUUGAUUAUGGCUCAGAACGUACGCGGGCGGCACGCCUAACACAUGCAAGUCGAACGAAGUAGCAAUACUUAGUGGCAAACGGGUGAGUAAUAUGUGGGAAUCUACCUUUCGGUCUGGAAUAACAUGAGGAAACUUGUGCUAAUACCGGAUAAGCCCUUACGGGGAAAGCUUUAUGUUCCGAUUGAUGAGUCCACACUUGAUUAGUUAGUUGGUGAGGUAAUAGCUCACCAAGACAAUGAUCAAUAGCUGAUUUGAGAGGAUGAUCAGCCACAUUGGGACUGAGACACGGCCCAAACUCCUACGGGAGGCAGCAGUGGGGAAUCUUGCACAAUGGGGGAAACCCUGAUGCAGCGAUGCCGCGUGAGUGAAGAAGGCCCUUGGGUUGUAAAGCUCUUUCGUCGGGGAAGAAAAUGACUGUACCCGAAUAAGAAGGUCCGGCUAACUUCGUGCCAGCAGCCGCGGUAAUACGAAGGGACCUAGCGUAGUUCGGAAUUACUGGGCUUAAAGAGCACGUAGGUGGUUAAAAAAGUUGGUGGUGAAAUCCCAGGGCUUAACUCUGGAACUGCCAUCAAAACUUUUUAGCUAGAGUAUGAUAGAGGAAAGUAGAAUUUCUAGUGUAGAGGUGAAAUUCGUAGAUAUUAGAAAGAAUACCAAUUGCGAAGGCAGCUUUCUGGGUCAUUACUGACACUGAGGUGCGAAAGCAUGGGUAGCGAAGAGGAUUAGAUACCCUCGUAGUCCAUGCCGUAAACGAUGUGUGCUAGACGUUGGAAAUUUAUUUUCAGUGUCGCAGCAAAAGCGUUAAGCACACCGCCUGGGGGGUAGGACCGCCGA
rnacentral:rRNA from 1 species